UUUGUCACAUGUCUAUUGUACUUCAUCAGGUGCUCUGGUAGAUUUCAACAAACCCGGCACAUGUUGGAGUACACUUUAUGUGCUGACAAG
rnacentral:pre_miRNA from 1 species